rnacentral:sRNA from 1 species
CUUGAGAAAGCACUAGUGGCUUGUGUUCAGGGAGAGGAGCUUUCAGUUUUUAACCACUUCUGAGGGAGCCGUGUUCUAACCUGUGGAAAGUAUUGCAAUUCUGUGAGAGUGACUCUCGGCAGUCACUGCACCAUCAGGAGCUGAGAAUGCCAGUACGAGAGUGUAGCCAAAGUGAGAGGCUGAGAGCGAAGGAGACAUUUUUUUCAGUUUUGAGUCGAGUAUCCAGACAGAGGCAAAUCAUUUUGUUUAACUUUUUAUUAAAGUGUGACUAUAGAAACACAUCAAUGAUUUUUCACAAAUGGAGUACGUGCAUACAAUCGGCACCCCCAGAAGCCCCCCGUCAGAUUCCCUUCCAGUUAACUACCUCUCCAAGGGAAACCACUAUCCUGAGUUCUAAGCACAUAGAUUAGUUCUGUCUGGUUUGGGGAGAUAUAUAAAUGGAAUUAUGCAUUCUUCGUAUCUGGUUUCUUUUCACCAAUAUUAUGUUUGUGAGAUUUUUGUUGCAUGUAUUUGUACAUGGUUUUUCAUUCUCAUGGUUGUAUAAUAUUCCACUGUGUAAAUAAACCACAUACUAUUUAUCUG